UCUUCUGCGGGAACGAGGAAGGAGGAGCUUGUCACCGGGCCCUUGUCACCCCGCCCGCGCACGGAGCUCUACGCCGCGGCUCCAGGCGAAGGAGGAGCUCGAGGGAACUGCGCCCUUGCCGCGGAAGUACCAGGGUCCUGCAAGCCCUUCGCUUGGCGCAGCUGUAACGACGGGGUCUGUGUUGCUGAAGCUGGCUUCAAACUCUUGGGCUCAAGUGAUCUUCCCCACCUCUGCCUCCCAAGUAGCAGAAAGAACAAUUUUGAAAAAAGCCAGAGACCAUACAUUGAAAAGCCAGAGGAGCACACACGUGACGUUCUCAGGACAGCUAAAAAGGGCUGUACAGAGACGAGUGGUUCCUAAGGGAAAGUAGGAUAUCUCUCCAUUCCACCAAAAGUGGAAUCACAAAAAAGAUCAGAGAGAAAAGCAGCGCACUAAACGUGUGCACGUUUCCAUGGGACCACUGGACUAUUGGCUUUUCGAGAGACAUGGGGACUCACAGAGAGAGAUCCUGGUGAGGGCCCACUCCUGCUUGAUCCUGGAUGAGGUCUAGUUGUAGAGCACAGCCAGCUUUAUAAGCACGGAGUCAGGGAUGAUCAUCCGGUUUAAAUGGGAAGUCCAGCAGAGUUUAAGGAAGACGUGGCCUGAUGUGACACCUAGAACUAACGUAACUUUUAAGACCAGAGUCCAACCGAGAAAAUAUUAGUGAUCCGCAGAACCUUGCACGUGCUCCUGUGGCUACGCUGUCUGUCCGCAGCCCCUGGGCUGUGGGUGAACCGGGCUGCUCCUCGGUGCCUCCAGGAUGCACCUCUCCACCAUGCCUUGGAUUCCAGCCCCGCCGGCCACACCGGCAACUCUGGCCAUCUUCAGUUCAUUCAUUCCAACUAGCACACAAACAUGCUGUGCUAGUUCCUUUUCUUAAAAAAAAAACACAAAACCUCUCCUUAGCCCCAUAUCCCCUUCCAGUUACCCAGUUUUUCUUCUCCCCUUAACAGUAAAAAUCUCCAAAAGAACUGGCUGUACUCACUGUUUCUUUCACCUUCCUCUCCCCUCACUCCCCCCUGAACCUACUCCAGUGAGGCUUUCUUGGGCACCACUCAAGAAAAUGCUCCGCUCUUCAGUGACUGUGCUGGGGCACGGGCAUGCCUGGAGCCUCCUUCCAUGGGACGUGAGCUCCACUGCCAGAACCUCGAGUCUGGAAGGAGAGUCUGGAGGGAGCCCCUAGGCAUGCGUCGGCCAGCCGCUUCCCAGCUCUCUUAGAACUCUGCUACCUUCAUGGUGUCCCUCUAUAAUUCUGCUCCUCAAAGAGUGGCCCCCACAAUGGCAGCACUGACGUCACCUGGAAGCUUGUUAGAAAUGCAGACUCUCAGGCCCCAGCCCAGACCUGGGCAAUCUGCAUGUUAGUGUGACCCCCAGGUGGUUGUGGUGCACAUCAAAGUUCAAGACGCACUGCUUCAAACCUCUGAGUCCAACGUCGGAAAAUCCAGUUGCCUACAGGUGUGAGCCACAUUCUCAGCAGUUUUAUCAGUAAUAAAGGUGAUGUUUUGUUCUCU